rnacentral:tRNA from 1 species
UGCGGGGUCGUCUAAUGGCAAGACGCGUGCCUCUGGAGCACGUUAUCGGGGUUCGAGUCCCUGCCCCGCAG